UUUUUUUUUUUUUUUUUUUUUUCUCGGCUUUUUUUUUUAGGACUGCAUUUCUGGCAUAUGGAAGUUCCCAGGCUAGGGGAUGAAUUGGAGCUAUAGCUGCCAGCCUAACCCACAGCCACAGCACCACAGGAUCCAAGCCACAUCAGCAACCUACACAGCAGUUCACAGCAACGGCAGAUCCUUAACCCACUGAAUGAGGCCAUGGAUUGAACCCACAUCCUUAUAGAUCCUAACCCACUGAACCACAUAUGAACUCCCAAAAAUACUCAUUCUUUUUAAUUUAUUUUUGUAUUUUUUUAAGAUUUUUUUUUCUUAUUUUUCUUCGAAAAAUACGGAGUCUUGAAGGCAGUGUGUCUAUUUAGGGCAGCACCUGCAGCUUAUGGAAGUUCCCAGGCUAGGGGUCUUGAAGGCAAUGUGAACACCUCUGAUCAACUAGGGGAAGGUCACGUACGAGGAAGUGUGUGAAGAAAAGCACACAGAUUCAUAUUUCAAGAUGUUUUCCUCCCACACACAUCCUCAAAUAACUGUAAGGACAAUGUGAUAGGGUCUCUAGUUCAGGUCUACUGAGUUCCCAGCGCUCUGGCAUGUGGCAGGAGACAGCAACAAGGACUGUGUAGUGGAGGUAACCCUGAGCUGAGCCUUGAAAGGAUGAGGAGGACUUUCCAGGGACACAGGGGUGUGGGGAGAACAUUCCAGACAGAAUUAAUGGUUUUGUAAGAACAUGGAAUGAUGAAGGAAAAGCCAACUGUGUGCCAAGUCCCAUUUUAAUAUGUACUUUUAAAAUAUUAAUCAUCACAACACCAGAUUUUUUUUAAAAGAUGAAACUGAAGCUCAGGGUGGUUCAAUUAUUGGCCCCAGAGUCCAUAUAUGGCAAGAGGCAGAGCUGGGAUUCAAGCCUGAGACGCUUGGCCCCAGAAGCUCUCUAACACACCCGUUCUGUCUAGAGGAACUGAAUGUGGCUUUGUGAUGGCGGGAGGAAGACUCAGCCGAAGGACUGAGCAGAAAGACCACAGAAGACCUGGUACAGCAUCUCGGAAGCUCAGACUUUCUCCUGAGAGUAAAAGGGAGUCCUUAAAAAGUUAACCAAGGGCGUUCCCGUCGUAGCUCAGUGGUAAUAAACCUGACUGGGAUCAUUUAGGUUCGAUCCCUGGCCUUGCUCAGUGGGUUAAGGAUGCACAUUGCCCUGAGCUGUGGUGCAGAUCUCAGACUUGGCUGGGAUCUGGCGUUACUGUGGCUGUGGUGUUGGCUGGCAGCUAUAGUUCGGAUUUGACCCCUAGCCUGGGAAUUUCCAUAUGCCGCGGGUGUGGCUCUAAAAAGCAAAAAAAAAAAGUUAACCAAGACAGAACAGAACAGAUGCAAUUAAAAGGAUAAUGGAUUGGAGGGGGCAGGACCAGCAGCAGAGACCAAUUAGGAGGCAUUUUUAAGAGUCUAAAUGAGGGAUGUGACCUGAAGAGCAGAGACACUUAGGUAGAAUGUUGUGGAAAAUCCAUAGCCUUGUGACUGGAACCUGUGGAUGUUACCUUAUGUAGCAAAAGAGACUUUACAGAUGAGAUCAAGUUAAGGACAUGCAGUUGGGGAGAUUAUUUUGGGUAAUCUGGGUGAGCCCCAUGUAAAUCACAAGAGUCCUUAAAACGGGAGACAGGAGAUGUGAGUAGCAGGAGGAAGGCAACGGGAGAGGAAGGCAGAGAUUGAAGCGAUGCAGCUCCAAGCCAAGGAAUGUAGGCAGCUUCUAGGAGCUGAGACAAGGUCAGAUUUUCCCCUAGGUCCCCCAGAGGGAACCAGCUCUGCUAUACCUCGAUCUUAGUCCCAUAAAACUCAUUUCUGACCUCCACAGCUGUCAGACAGUAAAGUUGUUUUGAGCCAUUAAAAUCCAUAGUUAUUUAUUAUAUAAGCAAGAGGACACAAAUACAGAUGGUUUAGACCCGAUGACCACAUAGUUAUGCAAGAAGGAAAGCCAGGAGUUCCCAUGUGGCUGAGUUGCGGGGUGGUUCCACAGGUUAAGGAUAUGGCAUUAUUGCUGCAGCACCUCAGAUCACUGCUGUGGCAUGGGUUCAAUCCCUGGUCCAGAAAAUUCCGUGUGCCAAAAAAAAGGAAAGCCAGGAGUCAUAGAAAGGGUUAAGGAUGAUGGCCAGACUUUUGGGUGAUGGGGCCGGUAGUGGGAUCAUUAUGAUCAGGACUAAGAAUAGUGAGGAAGGGGCAUUUUGGGGAAUAGUGGGAGGGUGGGGUGUUCGGUCUUGCACACCUCAAGCUCAAAGUGUCCAGGAGGGAUAUCUGGAGCCUAGAGUGGACCCUGGACACCAUCUGCAUGCACAGGCUCAGGACCGAGGCUGUUGAGAGACCCCUGGGGUCAAAGACCCGGGUUUCUUUUCCUAGCUCAGACUUUGUGAUGUGGAGUUAAAACUUCUCCUAAAUGCAGCUGUUGAACACUCAAGCCCCAGCCCUAGCAUCCUCUGCAUACCCCUUUGGACUGGGUGACAGACUUCGUCCAGAUGGCAGAAGCAAACCUGAGUCCUCCAAAGAGAUGUCAGGGCCUUGCCAGGCAGCCCACAGGGCAGAGGUCCAAGGAGGCGAGCUCUGCUGAGUCACUUCUGCAUGAGUUCUUUUGGAUCCAGACUGGUCUUUUUGAAGACACAGUGUGGUGGUACAGAAGCCAGUUCUCCUCAAGUGGACCUGUGGCCUGCACCAAGGGCAGAAACAGGGACAGAAUUUUCUCAGUGGAGUUUCCCACGGGUCAGAUGAAUGUUCAAACUCUGAAUACAAAGUGCAUGGGGUGAAAGUCACAUAUCAUUAAAAACAAAACAAACAAAAACACCAAAGCCUGCUCAUCCUGCAAAACAAGUGGGAGCUGAGGCCUGAGAAGAGAUGAGAUCGCUGACAUCAUUCAGAGAGGGCUUGUGGCUCAAAGUGGAGAGGUGGGCCAGGGAAACCCACUUCCACAGGGUGGGCAAAAGCAGGGAAGGGGGAUACCCGACACCCUCAUCUGGUGGUAAGUCAAUGACGCUCGAUGGUCGGAUUCAUUUGUAUUUUAUCUUCGAGAGAAGAUAAAAAAAGGAAAGACAACGUGGGGAAAUGUGUGUACCCAUAAAACAACACAAAACCAAAUACAUGUUUAUUUUCCAAAAAACUGAAUUAAGCAUGUAUGUGUGAAACAGGAUUCUACUCAAGAAGGGCUUAAACUGUAAACAAGGUGAAUAUAAAGUUAAAUCAAGAGAAGGAUGGUCUUACUAGUGAAUAAAAGAAAUGCAAACUCAGGUAACUUAAGACCACAUUAUAGGUUCAUAAAACUAGAAAAUGCAAAAGUAGGUAUAGCAAAGCCCGAAGCUGGUGAGGCUGUGGGAAACAAGGGCACCACCAGCUGCAGGUGAGAGCAGCGUGCACACCCUGGAACUGAGGUCCUUAAGUUGCACAUACAAAGAAUUCCAUUUAAGCAAAACUAGUGGUUUUAGGAGUUCCCAUUGUGGCUCAGCAGAAACAAAUCUAACUAGCAUCCAUGAGAGUGAGGGUCUGAUCCCUGGCCUCGCUCAGUGGGUUAAGGAUCCAGUGUUGCUGUUGCUGUGGCUGUGGCAUAGGUCAGCAGCUACAGCUCCGAUUCGAACCCUAGCCUGGGAACCUCGAUAUUCUGUGGGUGUGGCCCUAAAAAUCAAAACAAACAAACCAAACUUGGUGAUUUUAAUAAGAAAACAGAGGUGUCCAGGAACCCAAGGAAAUAUCUUAGACUCGGGACAGGGAGGCAGGGGUCAGACACCAAAAUCGGGAAGCCAGCAGAAACCUCUCUCCUUGUCUGAACCUCCCUUACACAUCUGCUUCUUUCCUCCUUCUCUCCACAUCUUUUUGCCAGGCACCUACUCAUACAGCAAAUAUUUAUUUUGUGUAUAUGCCCAAACAUUACAUUUCCGUGUUCAAGUGUACCCAGCAAAGAUUGAGCUGCAAUUUGAAAUUCUCCGGAGGCAUCUGAUUGGCUCAGCCUCGGGUCUUACACUGCCCUAAUCAGCUAGAACCCAGGGGGCAGGGGAUUUAUCUCAAAGUGGGUUAGAAUCUUUGAUUCCUUUUUCCACAGGAAAUUGGUGGAUGUGAUUAGAUAAACUGGGAAGGGGAUGCCCCAGGGCAGAGAAAGCUGACAUUCACCCUCCACCUAUCCAGAACUUCUGAACUCCAGGCCCUGCUUCCAGCCAGAACAUCUUUUUCCUGCUUCCAAAACAUUCCAUGUCUUUAGAGCCCAUUCUCCAUAGAGCAGCCAGUUUGAUCUUUUAACUGCAAAUCAGAUUAUAUUCUUCCACCGCUAAAAAUCAAACAGACAAAACAGCAAAAAAGAAGCCAAGGGAGUUCCUGUUGCGGCUCAUCAGUAACAACCUGACUAGUAUCCAUGAGGACUUGUGUUCGAUCCCUGGCCUCGUUCGGUGGGUUAAGGAUCUGGCAUUGCCGUAAGCUGUGGUGUAGGUUGGCAGCUGUAGCUCCGAUUAGACCCCUAGCCUGGGAACGGACAAAUGCCGCGGGUGGGGCACUUUAAAAAAAAAAAAGCCAAAAAACCCUCAAUUCCUUCAGUGGCAAUUAGAAUAACACCCUUACUUACCAGGGCCCUAACUUAUUUACCCCCGUCACUUCCGACUUUAUUUUUUACAAAUCUCCCCCUCCUCCACUCUGCCGUAGCCACUCCGACCUUGUUGCUUGUCCUUGAAUAAGCCAAAUUCAUUCCCCUUUGGACUUUUGCAUUUGUAGUUCCCUCUGCCGCACACUUGUGCACAGCUGACUCCCCGUCAUGACCGGACUCAGGUGAUGACAUCUCCUCAGAGGGUCUUCCCUGACCAUCCCAUCUGAAGUAGUGACGCCCGCCUCAACACACCCAUCUCUAGUUUCUCUCUAACCUGCCUUUCAGUUAUUUCUUCCUAAGACUUAAUACUGGUUGAACUUCCCUUGUUUAUUAAAAAAAAUUUUUUUUCAGAGUUCCCGUUGUGACGCAGUGGAAACGAAUCCGACUAGGAACCAUGAGGUUGCAGGUUCGAUCCCUGGCCUCGCUCAGUGGCUUGGGAAUCUGGCAUUGCUGUGGGCUGUGGUGUGGGUCGCAGACACAGCUCGGAUCUGUCAUUGUUGUGGCUGUGGCAAAGGCCAACAGCUGUAGCUCCAACUGGACCCCUAGCCUAGGAACCUCCAUAAGCCACUGGCGUGCCCUAAAAAAAGGCAAAAAAUAUAUAUAUUUUUUUUCUUUCCUCUCCAUAUUGAGCAGGGACCUAGUCUGCCUCACUCCCAGCAGCAGAACUGAGUCUGGUUGGUACACAGGAGAUGCUUAGGUUUCAGUGUUAGAGCACCAGAAGAAGCACUGGUGACCAAGGCUUUGGAGGUGGCAGACUGACUCACCAGCCACUCACAUGUCCUACUUGUGUAAACCUGCACAAGUUGCUGGACUUAUCAUAUGCAAAAUGGGGAGGAUAAUAGUACCGCUCCCACACUAUUGUUUGAGGAUUAAAUGAGUUCUCACAUGUAAAGGGUUUAUACAAUGCUUACCACAGAGCAAGCAUUCAAGUGUUUUCACCUAUUAUUCAUUAUUAAUCACCAGUCCAUUCAUUUUUUGAAUUCUUAAAAUUUAUCUUUCAUCAUUCCGCUCUCCGUAUCUCCUCUUUUAUCUUUUUUUCAUAGCUUUAUCAGUGUCCUCCGGAUUCCUGGGAAACCAUCCGAGGUUGGUUUUCUUUAUCAAAUCCACCGACUGUGUUCAACCUAGCAUUCACUGGUUUCAUGCAGGUUUUAAUUCAACAGCCACCUUUUUAAUCUCCUCUUAAACUCCCAUAUCUCAGAUGAUUCCAUUUGCAGGAUUGCUGGUUCUACACAUUACUUAC
rnacentral:lncRNA from 1 species